rnacentral:rRNA from 1 species
CCUACGGGAGGCAGCAGUGAGGAAUAUUGGUCAAUGGGCGGGAGCCUGAACCAGCCAAGUCGCGUGAGGGAAGACGGUCCUAUGGAUUGUAAACCUCUUUAGGCGGGGAGCAAUGCCGGGCACGCGUGCCCGGAGGGAGAGUACCCGCAGAAUAAGCAUCGGCUUACUCCGUGGCAGCAGCAGCGGUAAUACGGAGGAUGCGAGUGUUAUGCGGAUCUAUUGGGUUUAAAGGGUGCGUAGGCGGAUUUAUAAGUCAGCGGUAAAAUGUCCGGGCUAAACCCGGGACGGUCGUUGAAACUGGUGAUCUCGAGUGGGUGAGAAGUAUGUGGAAUGCGUGGUGUAGCGGUGAAAUCCAUAGAUAUCACGCAGAACUCCGAUUGCGAAGGCAGGAUACCGGCGCCCGACUGACGCUGAGGCACGAAAGCGUGGGGAUCGAACAGGAUUAGAUACCCCAGUAGUC